CUGGAGGUGCGAUCAGCCUAGGGACAAUAAAAAGAAGAUUGAAAAAGAAGUAUGAAUGUCCAAUGAGUCAUGAUGAGAUAUUCAAGGAGACGCAUAUUGUGAAGAAGAAAAAAGAGGGGGAUCAAGAUAGGUGGGUUGAGUACCGGGCCUCGACUGCAUAUAGUCGCUACCAAAGUAACGUGGAGGAAUUCAUCCAUAGUCAUCCAGCUGGUGAAUCGGGUGAGCCAACCCAACCUUCGGACGAAGAUGCUAAAAGAAUAUGAUUGGAGUCUGUUGGCGGUCCAAAAUGGGGGAAGGUAUACGGGCUUCCUACUAAAAACUUCUAUCGCUAUAAGUAUGGAAUGCGAGGAAUAGGGACUUCCUCGCAAGGCGAGCAACUUAAUAGAGAGAGCCUCUCCGCUAUGAGAGAGACAGUGACAAAGAUCACAUCUGAGCUAGAAGCGGCCAAGGAAAAAGAAAGGCUUAGAGAUGCUCAAUUCCUUGGCAUGCAAGCUCAGAUCAGAACUCU